GCCUCGGUGGUGUAGUGGUCAAGACGCUUGCCUGAUAAUCUGAAGGGCGUGGGUUCAAUCCCGCCAGAGGUA
rnacentral:tRNA from 1 species